GACGAACGCUGGCGGCGUGCUUAACACAUGCAAGUCGAACGGAAAGGCCCUGCUUUUGUGGGGUGCUCGAGUGGCGAACGGGUGAGUAACACGUGAGUAACCUGCCCUUGACUUUGGGAUAACUUCAGGAAACUGGGGCUAAUACCGGAUAGGAGCUCCUGCUGCAUGGCGGGGGUUGGAAAGUUUCGGCGGUUGGGGAUGGACUCGCGGCUUAUCAGCUUGUUGGUGGGGUAGUGGCUUACCAAGGCUUUGACGGGUAGCCGGCCUGAGAGGGUGACCGGCCACAUUGGGACUGAGAUACGGCCCAGACUCCUACGGGGGGCAGCAGUGGGGAAUAUUGCACAAUGGGCGGAAGCCUGAUGCAGCAACGCCGCGUGCGGGAUGACGGCCUUCGGGUUGUAAACCGCUUUCGCCUGUGACGAAGCGUGAGUGACGGUAAUGGGUAAAGAAGCACCGGCUAACUACGUG
rnacentral:rRNA from 1 species